rnacentral:lncRNA from 1 species
AUGGCCCAUCCAGUUCAAUUAGGUCUUCAAGAUGCUUCAUCCCCUACUAUAGAAGAACUACUUACCUUCCAUGACCACACUCUUAUAAUUAUUUUCCUAAUUAGUUUCCUGGUUCUAUACAUUAUUUCUCUAAUACAACAAAGCUGAUUCAUACUAGCACUAUAGAUGCCCAAGAAAUAAAGACUGUCUGAACUAUCUUGCCUGCCAUCAGCUUAAUCUUAAUUGCCCUCCCAUCCCUAUGUAUUCUGUACAUAACAGAUGAAAUCAAUAAUCCCCCUCUCACCAUUAAAACAAUUGGACAUCAAUGGUAUUGAAGCUACGAGUAUAUAGAUUAUGAAGAAUUAAGUUUCGAUUCUUAUAUACUUCCAACAGCCAACUUAAAACCAGAAGAACUUCAACUCCUCGAAUUCGAUAACCAAACAUCCUCUCAAUAGAAAUUCUCAUCCGCAUGUUAAUCUCAUCCAAAGAUAUCCUGCACUCAUGAACUAUUCCCUCAUUAGGGUUAAAAACAGAUGCAAUCCCUGGACGCUUAAACCAAUUUGCCUUAACCACUACAUGACCAGGCCUCUACUAUGGACAAUGCUCAGAAAUGUGUGGAUCUAACCACAGCUUUAUAUCUAUUGUUUUAAAAUUAGUCCCAUUAAAAACUUUCAAAACU